rnacentral:rRNA from 1 species
CACCAUCGACCGAUCCUGAUGUCUUCGGAUGGAUUUGAGUAWGAGCAUAGCUGUUGGGACCCGAAAGAUGGUGAACUAUGCYYGAAUAGGGUGAAGCCAGAGGAAACUCUGGUGGAGGCUCGCAGCGGUUCUGACGUGCAAAUCGAUCGUCAAAUUURGGCAUAGGGGCGAAAG